AUUGAACGCUGGCGGCAGGCCUAACACAUGCAAGUCGAGCGGAUGAAGGGAGCUUGCUCCUGGAUUCAGCGGCGGACGGGUGAGUAAUGCCUAGGAAUCUGCCUGGUAGUGGGGGAUAACGUCCGGAAACGGGCGCUAAUACCGCAUACGUCCUGAGGGAGAAAGUGGGGGAUCUUCGGACCUCACGCUAUCAGAUGAGCCUAGGUCGGAUUAGCUAGUUGGUGGGGUAAAGGCCUACCAAGGCGACGAUCCGUAACUGGUCUGAGAGGAUGAUCAGUCACACUGGAACUGGGACACGGUCCAGACUCCUACGGGAGGCAGCAGUGGGGAAUAUUGGACAAUGGGCGAAAGCCUUAUCCAGCCAUGCCGCGUGUGUGAAGAAGGUCUUCGGAUUGUAAAGCACUUUAAGUUGGGAGGAAGGGCAGUAAGUUAAUACCUUGCUGUUUUGACGUUACCAACAGAAUAAGCACCGGCUAACUUCGUG
rnacentral:rRNA from 1 species